rnacentral:tRNA from 1 species
CUCUGGGUGGUACAAAAGGUUAAUGUGUUUGACUGCUAACCAAAAGGUUGGAGGUUCGAGCCUACCCAGAGG